rnacentral:rRNA from 1 species
GAUGAACGCUGGCGGCGUGCCUAAUACAUGCAAGUCGAGCGGACCAAAGAGAGCUUGCUCUCUGAGGUUAGGGGCGGACGGGUGAGUAACACGUGGGUAACCUGCCUGUAAGACGGGGACAACUUCGGGAAACGGAAGCUAAUACCGGAUGAUAAAGAGAAACGCCUGUUUCUUUUUUUAAAGUCGGCCUUGUGUUGACGCUUACAGCUGGGCCCGCGGCGCAUUAGCGAUUUGGUGAGGUAACGGCUCACCAAGGCGACGGUGCGUAGCUUACCUGAGAGGGUGAUCGGCCACACUGGGACUGAGACACGGCCCAGACUCCUACGGGAGGCAGCAGUAGGGAAUCUUCGGCAAUGGACGAAAGUCUGACCGAGCAACGCCGCGUGAGCGAUGAAGGCCUUCGGGUCGUAAAGCUCUGUUGUCAGAGAAGAACAAGUACCGGAGUAACUGCCGGUACCUUGACGGUACCUGACCAGAAAGCCACGGCUAACUACGUGCCAGCAGCCGCAGUAA